AGAGUUUGAUCAUGGCUCAGAUUGAACGCUGGCGGAAUGCUUUACACAUGCAAGUCGAACGGCAGCACGGGAGCUUGCUCCUGGUGGCGAGUGGCGAACGGGUGAGUAAUAUAUCGGAACGUAUCCAAUAAUGGGGGAUAACUAAGCGAAAGCUUGGCUAAUACCGCAUACGCCCUGAGGGGGAAAGCUAGGGAUCUUCGGACCUGGCGUUGAUGGAGCGGCCGAUAUCUGAUUAGCUAGUUGGUGGGGUAAAGGCCCACCAAGGCGACGAUCAGUAGCUGGUCUGAGAGGACGACCAGCCACACUGGAACUGAGACACGGUCCAGACUCCUACGGGAGGCAGCAGUGGGGAAUUUUGGACAAUGGGCGCAAGCCUGAUCCAGCCAUUCCGCGUGAGUGAAGAAGGCCUUCGGGUUGUAAAGCUCUUUCGCAAGGGAAGAAAGAUUACGCUCUAACAUAGUGUGAUUAUGACGGUACCUUGAUAAGAAGCACCGGCUAACUACGUGCCAGCAGCCGCGGUAAUACGUAGGGUGCGAGCGUUAAUCGGAAUUACUGGGCGUAAAGCGUGCGCAGGCUGUUUUGUAAGUCAGAUGUGAAAUCCCCGAGCUCAACUUGGGAACUGCGUUUGAAACUACAAGACUAGAAUAUGUCAGAGGGGGGUAGAAUUCCACGUGUAGCAGUGAAAUGCGUAGAGAUGUGG
rnacentral:rRNA from 1 species